rnacentral:tRNA from 1 species
GAGAGAAGCCCGCAGGCAGUAAGGAUUGCUAAUCCUCUACCCCCACAGUUGAACCCUGUGGUUCACUCG